GCCUGGCUGGCUCAUUGGUAGAGCAUGAGACUCUUAAUCCUGGAGGUGUGAGUUUGAGCCCCACACUGGGUG
rnacentral:tRNA from 1 species